GAUGAACGCUAGCUACAGGCUUAACACAUGCAAGUCGAGGGGAAACGCCAUCGAAAGCUUGCUUUUGAUGGGCGUCGACCGGCGCACGGGUGAGUAACGCGUAUCCAACCUGCCCAUCACUUGGGGAUAACCUUGCGAAAGUAAGACUAAUACCCAAUGAUAUCUCUAGAAGACAUCUGAAAGAGAUUAAAGAUGUAUCGGUGAUGGAUGGGGAUGCGUCUGAUUAGCUUGUUGGCGGGGUAACGGCCCACCAAGGCAACGAUCAGUAGGGGUUCUGAGAGGAAGGUCCCCCACAUUGGAACUGAGACACGGUCCAAACUCCUACGGGAGGCAGCAGUGAGGAAUAUUGGUCAAUGGGCGAGAGCCUGAACCAGCCAAGUAGCGUGCAGGAAGACGGCCCUAUGGGUUGUAAACUGCUUUUAUAAGGGAAUAAAGUGAGAGUCGUGACUCUUUUUGUAUGUACCUUAUGAAUAAGGACCGGCUAAUUCCGUG
rnacentral:rRNA from 1 species